UACGUAGGUGGCAAGCGUUGUCCGGAUUUACUGGGCGUAAAGAGCGCGCAGGCGGUCGUUCAAGUCGCGUGUGAAAGCCCCCGGCUCAACUGGGGAGGGUCACGCGAUACUGAUCGACUCGAAGGCAGGAGAGGGUAGUGGAAUUCCCGGUGUAGUGGUGAAAUGCGUAGAUAUCGGGAGGAACACCAGUGGCGAAGGCGACUACCUGGCCUGUUCUUGACGCUGAGGCGCGAAAGCUAGGGUAGCAAACGGGAUU
rnacentral:rRNA from 1 species